UUAUUUUUAAAUAUGUGCAGGAAGAUUGCUUCUACGACCUACCUUACAAUACUGGGUAUCAAAUUUUCGUGCUACGUUUACGGAAGAUAAGGGAUGAAAUUAUGAAGUGUACUCUCUCUAUAUAUGUAGAUAUAUACUUUGAUUGAAGAACUGGGGUAGCUUUAGAUGGUUAAUUGUAAAGAUAAUGAAUGAUUAUGUAGUGGA
rnacentral:lncRNA from 1 species